UUCCUCACUCUAUUUCGUCUCUCCCUCUUUUUCUCUUCCUAUGUGUAAGGUUCACUAUGUAGCCCUUGAUUUCAAUUAACAAGAAGAAGCCCCUGCUGGGUUCCACUGUUGAAUGUCUAUAUAACCCUUGAUUUUCAGCAACAACGGAACUGCAAGCCUCUAUGGGAUUCCAUCGUUGAAGUGAAGGCGUUCUCUCCAACUAGAUAUCAGAUUUGUGGAUCUGCCAUUGUGUUCUGCCAACCCGGAUUCACAUAGCGCAUGACACUCAAACUGCUAAUACGGCUGUGGCUGGUUGAGUAUUGAAGGGGAGUUUGCAAUGGUUUUGAGUGAAAAAUGGCAGCAAACUUGGUAGUGAGUGUAGGAAGGAACUUCAUGACUCCUCGAUGAUGAACUUCUAGAAUGGCAGCAAACUUGGUGGUUUCCUCAAUGACGUACCGUGUCUUUGCAGAUCAACUUCAUGACUCAAUGAUGAACUUCUAGAAUGGGUUGUGAUUUUUGGCAAUAGUUUCCCUAUAACAGUUGUAUUGUAUUGACAAUAAUUAUGAUUGGAUCAAAAUGAGUUUUAUUCUUCUUUUUGUUGUUUUGGUAUUGUAAAUGGCCACGUGGGUUUUGAGAAUCUUGUUUGUGUUUGUUAAUGUAUUUUGGGUUAUGCUAUAUUCAGUGUUCUUUACCAA